CAAAAAAUAGUUUAACUAAAAUAUUAAUUUUGGAGAUUAAAGAUAUAAAUAUUUUUAUUUUUUUGA
rnacentral:tRNA from 1 species